rnacentral:rRNA from 1 species
GACGAACGCUAGCUACAGGCUUAACACAUGCAAGUCGAGGGGAAACGUUGAGAGAGCUUGCUCUCUUAGGCGUCGACCGGCGCACGGUUGAGUAACGCGUAUCCAACCUACCCAUUACAGGGGGAUAACCUUGCGAAAGUAAGACUAAUACACCAUGGCCUCUUAUGGUGGCAUCAUUAUAGGAUUAAAGAUUUAUUGGUAAUGGAUGGGGAUGCGUCUGAUUAGCUUGUUGGCGGGGUAACGGCCCACCAAGGCAAUGAUCAGUAGGGGUUCUGAGAGGAAAGUCGCCCACAUUGGAACAGGGACACGGACCAAACUACUACGGGAGGCAGCAGAGAGGAAUGUUAGGCAGUGGGCGGGAACUUGAUGCAGCCAAGUAGCGUGCAAGAUAGCGACGCUGUGGGAAGUAAGCAGCUUUUAUAAGGGAAAAAAGUUAGCUACGGGUAGUUUAUUGCAUGUACCCUAUGAAUAAGGACCGGCUAAUUCCGUG